rfam:Triticum aestivum genome assembly, contig: Triticum_aestivum_CS42_TGACv1_scaffold_374439_5AL
AUGCUACUCCCUCCGUUCCGAAUUAUUUGUCUUAGAUUUGUUUAGAUACAGAGGUAUCUAGCACUAAAAUAUGUCUAGAUACACCGGUAUUUAGACAAAUCCAAGACAAAUAAUUCAGAACGAAGGGAGUAGUAU